UAAGACCUCGCGUUAUUGGAGCGGCCGAUAUCUGAUUAGCUAGUUGGUGGGGUGAGAGCCUACCAAGGCGACGAUCAGUAGCUGGUCUGAGAGGACGACCAGCCACACUGGGACUGAGACACGGCCCAGACUCCUACGGGAGGCAGCAGUGGGGAAUUUUGGACAAUGGGCGAAAGCCUGAUCCAGCCAUGCCGCGUGAGUGAAGAAGGCCUUCGGGUUGUAAAGCUCUUUCGCAAGGAAAGAAAUCCUAUCCACUAAUACUGGGUGGGGAUGACGGUACCUUGAUAAGAAGCACCGGCUAACUACGUGCCAGCAGCCGCGGUAAUACGUAGGGUGCGAGCGUUAAUCGGAAUUACUGGGCGUAAAGCGAGCGCAGGCGGUUUUGUAAGUCAGAUGUGAAAUCCCCGGGCUCAACCUGGGAACU
rnacentral:rRNA from 1 species